rnacentral:misc_RNA from 1 species
UCCGGUUUGGCACCGGCAGUCUUCCCAGAGUCCCCGACAUAACUCGCUGGCAACUGGGAACGGGGGUUGCGCUCGUUGCGGGACUUAACCCAACAUCUCACGACACGAGCUGACGACAGCCAUGCAGCACCUGAACCGGAGGUCCCCGAAGGGAAGACCCCAUCUCUGGAGCUGUCCUCCGUUGUCUAGCCCAGGUAAGGUUCUUCGCGUUGCGUCGAAUUGAACCACAUGCUCCACCGCUUGUGCGGGCCCCCGCCUAUUCCUUCGAGUUUUAACCUUGCGGCCGUACUCCCCAGGCGGGGCGCUUAAUGCGUUAGCUGCGGCACGGAGAACGUGGAAGGUUCCCCACACCUAGCGCCCAACGUUUACGGCGUGGACUAC